rnacentral:rRNA from 1 species
GUAGGUGGCAAGCGUUGUCCGGAAUUAUUGGGCGUAAAGCGCGCGCAGGCGGUUCUUUAAGUCUGAUGUGAAAGCCCACGGCUCAACCGUGGAGGGUCAUUGGAAACUGGAGAACUUGAGUACAGAAGAGGAGAGCGGAAUUCCACGUGUAGCGGUGAAAUGCGUAGAGAUGUGGAGGAACACCAGUGGCGAAGGCGGCUUUCUGGUCUGUAACUGACGCUGAGGCGCGAAAGCGUGGGGGAGCAAACAGGAUUAGAUACCCUGGUAGUCCACGCCGUAAACGAUGAGUGCUAAGUGUUAGCGGGUUUCCGCCCCCCCCUUAGUGCUGCAGCUAACGCAUUAAGCACUCCGCCUGGGGAGUACGGCCGCAAGGCUG